GAGUUUGAUCCUGGCUCAGAACUAACGCUGGCGGCGUGCCUAACACAUGCAAGUCGAACGAGAAAGUUGGCUUCGGCCGAUGAGUAAAGUGGCGCACGGGUGAGUAACGCGUGGAUAAUCUGCCCUUUAGUUUGGAAUAACGUACCGAAAGGUGCGCUAAUACCGGAUAAUACUGAAUGACUACUGUCGUUUAGUCAAAGAAGGCUUCUGUUUACAUGCUUUUGCUGAAGGAUGAGUCCGCGUACCAUUAGCUAGUUGGUAGGGUAAUGGCCUACCAAGGCGACGAUGGUUAGCUGGUCUGAGAGGAUGAUCAGCCACACUGGAACUGAGACACGGUCCAGACUCCUACGGGAGGCAGCAGUGAGGAAUAUUGCGCAAUGGGGGCAACCCUGACGCAGCAACGCCGCGUGAGUGAGGAAGGUUUUCGGACCGUAAAGCUCUGUCGAGCGGGAAG
rnacentral:rRNA from 1 species